UUCCCUGAUCGCGAGACGAUGCGACGGAGGGUGACGACGUCGGUCCUUUCCAUCGCCAUCUUCUUCCUCCUCGCCGCCUCCUUCUCCUUACAUGUCUUCCGUCACCUCCUCCCCUCGGGCAACGCCAUCAACUCCAGGACCCUGAACCAGCCCGUCGACCGCCUGCGCAAUUAUGCGGUCGGCGAGGCCGCGGUAUCGGUCCUCCGUGUAUUACGCUCCCCCCCGCGCCACCGCCCACCGCCCACGGAGUCCGUCCUCCUCCUCGACUGGGACGUGCUCCUCCUUCCCUCUCCUAAUACUUCCACCGCCGCGAGCGGCAGGCCGCUCUCUUGCCUUUUCCAUACCGGCGCCACCUCCCUUGCCCGCCCCGCCGGCCCCGUCGCCUUCCUCUGCUCCCUCCCCAACAGCCUCCGACGCUUCCGGCCCUUCUACACCCCACGCCUCUCCGAGGCCUCCUCCAACGCUUCUGGGUGGGUGGGCCAGGAGGAUCCCCCCCGGGAGAUGUUGCGGUCCACGCAGCUCGCCUACGAGUCGGUCUCCACCGCUGACGACGUCAUCGUCUUCGUGAAGGGCGUCAAUCGUCGACGGGAUCGCGACCUCCCCGCCUCCAGCCUUCGCUGCGUCUUCUCCCCCGCCUCCGGCGGCGCCGCGGUCGCCACGACCUCGGUCACUUCCUCGGCCCAGGAGGCGUUCCGCUGCGCUCACCCGCCCGCCGCCGAGGUGUCAAGCAUCGGUCCCUUCAGGGUCUCCAUCUCGACCGGGCCGGAGGCGGCGCCUAUCCCUACGCUCGCCAAUUACCACCGGCCAGGUGGCCCUGCGAGCGGGGGCCGCUUGUCGAUCUGCGCCUGCACGAUGGUGUUCAACGCCGCCAAGUUCCUCCCGGAGUGGGUGGUGUACCACGCCGCCAUCGGCGUGGAGCGCUUCUUCCUCUACGACAACGGGAGCGAGGACGAGCUGGAGUCGGUGGUGAGUCGACUCGGCUCGCAGGGUUUCGACGUGACGACCCGGUUCUGGCCUUGGCCGAAGACCCAGGAGGCCGGCUUCUCCCACUGCGCCGUGGUGAACCGCGACGAGUGUGAGUGGAUGGCAUUCAUCGACGUGGACGAAUUCGUGUACUCCACGGACUGGGACGAAUCGGACCAACCCAACCGGUCCAUGAUGGGCUCGCUCGUAGCGGUCGGGCCGGAGGUGGGCCAGAUUUCCAUAAAAUGCCUGGAGUUCGGGCCCUCAGGGCACAGGGCCCACCCACCAGGCGGCGUCACCCAGGGGUACACCUGCCGUCGGCGGAACGAGGAGCGGCACAAGUCGCUGCUCCGCCUCGACGCGGCGGCCGUCUCGCUGGUGAACUCGGUCCACCAUUUCGAGUUGCGGGAGGGGUUCGAGACCAAGCAGGUCGAGGUGGGGGAGGCGAGGCUGAACCACUACAAAUACCAAGCAUGGAAGGAGUUCAAGGCCAAGUUCCGGCGGCGCGUGUCGGCGUACGUGGUGGAUUGGAAGGAACCGAUGAACCUGGCGUCGAAGGAUCGGCCGCCCGGUCUGGGGUCCGACCCGAUCGAGCCGAAGGGUUGGACCGACAUGUUCUGCGAGGUGAACGACACCCGGCUCAGGGACGCAACGCGGAGGUGGUUCACCGAGGUGAAGCUCGAUGGGGCAGAGAGAAUGGCUUGGGAUAGCUAGCAAAUCUCACCUCUACUUUCUUCGUUGGCGUCGAACACAGUGCUAGCAUACGAACAGAGAAGGCGAUACUGGAAAGAAGACAACGAAUUCUUUUAUACUCAUUAAUUUAUUGUAAUUUGUGUGCCCAGUCAUAUACGGAGAACAUACUACUGUUAGAACCUUCGGGGCUGUAUUGUUUAUUUCUAUGCCAGAAGAGCAAUUUUGACUUGGUCAAAGUGAGACAUUGCAGAAUCGAACUGCUUUUGUUACCAAUAAUGCGUGCAGAUGCCGUCGAAGCCUUUACGUGGCUACUGUCUUCCAUUGGCUGCCCUCUUUGUUGCGUGUUGUGGGUCAUUCGGUGGAUCCUCGCUGGAGCGGAGAAAAAAUCGUAGGGUGCCAACCGGCAGAUAUCACGCGGAUCGCUGACGUGUACACCAUGCCACAGAUCUCUCUUUUCUCCGUUUCCUUCGAGCCGUUGGAUUUUGAUUUCAUCUCUCUCUUGCCGUGGCUUGACCACUUCUGGCUGCCUCCGUCUCUCUUCCUUCCUCAGCUAUCGCCCACCGAAGAGCGCUGAUCUGAGGUAUCGCCAUGAAACGGGGCAAGUCGAAGGUGGAUGCACCCAAGAAGGCCGAUGGCAGGCUUUCCGUAAAGAAGGGACCGGAACGGACGGGUAAGAAGCCCAGGAAGACGAAGGCCGACAAGGAUCCCAACAAGCCCAAGAGGCCCCCCAGUGCCUUCUUCGUCUUCAUGGAGGAAUUCAGGAAGUCGUUCAAGGAAAAGAACCCCAACAACAAGUCGGUCUCUGUGGUUGGUAAAGCUGCAGGAGACAAGUGGAAAUCCCUGUCGGAAGCCGUAAGUAAUGUGAACGAUUUCUCUCGCCUUAGUUCAACAAAGCUAGGGAAAGUUUUGAUCUGGGGAAAACCGUAUGCUUCGAUUGCAGGAGAAGGCUCCUUAUGUCGCCAAGGCAGCUAAGUUUAAGACGGAGUACACCAAGAAAUUAGCUUCCUAUAAUAAGAACCAAUCUGGUGGAGGAAGCCAUGAUGCUGAUGAUGAAGACGAGUCUGACAAAUCCAGCUCUGAGGUGAAUGAUGAUGAUGAAGAAGGAAGUGGAGAGGAAGAAGAGGAUGAUGAAUGAGUGAAUUAUAAGCAAAGUGCAGUGUAAUGGGAUUCAUUAUCUUGGCUAUCACUAACAUGUACUUGCUUUCUUCAAACUGAAAGCUAAUUUGUUGCCACUUGUUAGUGGACGAGUUUGAUUGACAAGAUGUUAGUGGUAUUUGCUGCCGUAUCUCUAUGGAAUGUAAAGUCUUUGAUUGACAUGGUGCUCAAGCUAAUUAGAUGGCAUUUGCUAGUUGACCUGUGUUUU